AAGACGCUUUGCUUUGGUGUAUAAAUUGGAAGUUCGACCCCUUUUCAAGCAUGCAUUUUUGGUGUGUACAUGAAUGAUCUAAUCUUUAGGUAAAUGUUAGUUUCCUCUUUUCAGUAUAAUAUUGGUGUUGCUCUGUUUUGAUUGUUGUAGUAGACAGAGUCUGAUUCUGAUCCGAAUGGAAAAGUUAGCAGCUUUUGAUCAGGAACUAAGGGUUACUAUCUCCAGUCUCUGGCCAAUGUUCCCAGGUUAUAUCUCUCUAUCUCUAUAUGUUUAAAUUUUUUAAAGUAUAAUGUACAACGACACCCUUCGUUUUGACGAUAAUGCUGUGGAAACUCGCUAUAGGAAACACGUGGAUCCGCAGAGUUAUGAGAUUUGCUCUGUUCUUAUGAGUUGCGACUAGUGUACGUUACCCUCCAAUCUUUGGCUAGUGCUUUCAGGUCGAGGGGUCGUGAGCAAUUACGGCACCGGUACGAUUCCGGCUAUCUUCUCGGGUCAGGGGGUACGAUUCCGGCUAUCUUCUCGGGUCAGGGGGUACGUGGGAAUGGUCCUCUAUCUCCUUAAGUCCUUAUGAAACUACAGACACAAAAGGGUCGAGAGGUUCUUGAGCAGUAUUACAUCCUCUUUCUCCUUAUGCUAUGAUAUCACAACCUCCAGCAAGAGAAUGAAGCCUAUGACCAUCCUCAUGAAAUAGAUAGACCGUGGACUCUUCUUCCUGUUUACCUCCAUUGCUUUCUCUGUA